rnacentral:lncRNA from 1 species
UUUUGAAAAGAAAAUGGCAAUUCCUUUAUGGGAGUUGUAUACAGGUGAACUUGUCUUAUAUUUUCCAUCUCUCCUAAUAUUUUUGGAAAACUCUCAAGGUUAUCACAAUAUGAAAGAUCAAGAACUUCUAGCGAAGCAAACUUGAGAGGUGGAAUACUCUUGAGCUUGCGGCAAUAUCUAACACUGAGGACUUUGAGAUUAUUUGGAAACCGAUCCACCACAAGUGGAAAACACUCAAGAUUAUGACAAUAUGAAAGAUUGAGUUCUUCUAGCGAAGCCAAAUUGAGAGGCGGGAUACUCCUAAUAUUGCUGCAAUUUGUAACUCUCAAGAUUUUAAGUUUCUUCAGCUGUCCAUCCACAAUAGGUGGAAAACUCUUGAGACUAUCACAAUAAGAAAGAUCGAGUUGUUCCAGCGAAUCUAAUUUGAGAGGUGGAAUACUCUUGAGCUUGUGGCAAUAUCUAACAUUAAGGACCUUAAGUUUACCCAGCAACCCAUCUACCACAUGUGGAAAACUCU